AAGAGAACAGCUUUCACACCGUGGAAGCCAACCCAAGCAGGUUGCCACUUGAGCUCAGGCAGCCUGCUUUUAUUCUCUUAUCUGGCCCCACCCACAUCCUGCUGAUUGGCCUAUUUUACAGAGAGCUGAUUGGUCCAUUUUGACAGGGUGCUGAUUGGUGUGUUUACAAUCCCUGAGCUAGACACAAAAGUUCUCCAAGUCCCCACUAGAUUAGCUAGGCACAGAGCACUGAUUGGUGCAUUUACAAACCUUGAGCUAGACACAGGGUGCUGAUUGGUGUAUUUACAAUCCCUUAGCUAGACAAAGGUUCUCCAAGUCCCCACUAGACUCAGGAGCUCAGCUGGCUUCACCUAGUGGAUCCUGCACAGGGGCCACAGGCGGAACUGCCCACCAGUCCAGCACUCAGUGAAUCCGCACUCCUCAGACCUUGGGCCAUCGAUGGGACGGGGCACCACGGAGCAGGGGGCGGCUUGGACUGUGCAGGAGCCCCAGGUGCGGGGGAGGCUCGGGCAUGGCGGGCUGCAGGUCCCAAGCCCUGCCCCUCCGGAGGCAGCAGGGGCCCGGGGAGAACUGGAGCGCGGCGCUGGUGGGCAGGCACUGCUGGGGGACCUGGCGCACCCUCCGCAGCUGCUGGCCGGGGUGCUAAGCCCCUCAGUGCCCCGGGCCUGCGGAGCCAGCCUGGCCACUCUGAGCUUGGGGCCCGUCGAGCCCACGCCCACCUGGAGUGCCUGCCACCCUGCCCGGCUAAUUUUUUGUAUUUUUUAGUAGAGACGGGGUUUCACCGUGUUAGCCAGCAUGGUCUCAAUCUCCUGACCUCAUGAUCCACCCGCUUCGGCCUCUCAAAGUGCCGGGAUUACAGGCGUGAGCCACCAUGCCCAGCCAGCAUUUUCUGUAUCUUAAGAAGUAUGGAAUUGUACACUUCUUUGAGGCAGAUAUGCCUUUGUUCUGAAAAAAACAAAAAUUGCCCCAAGUGUUCUGAACAAGGGGACAGGCAAUCAUGGACUAUCACUGCUGAGCAUAUACAGUUAGGCAAGUUUAAGCAUGCCAGCUUAAAAGUACCACUGGUAGACCCAGUACAGUGGCUUACACCUGUAAUCCCAAGCAGGAGGCAGGGAAGCCAAGGUGGGAGGAUUGCUUGAAGCCAGGAGUUUGAGGCCAGCCUGAGCAACAAAGGGAGACCCCCAUCUCUACAAAAAAUAAAAAAUUAGGCCAGGCGCAGUGGCUCAUGCCUGUAAUCCCAGCACUCUGGGAGGCUGAGGCAGGCGGAACACGAGGUUGGGAAUUCGAUACCAGCCUGACCAACAUGAUGAAACCUCAUCUCUACUAAAAAUACAAAAAUUAGCCGGGCAUGGUGGCGCAUGCCUCUAAUCCCCUCUACUCAGGAGGCUGAGGCAGGAGAGUCGCUUGCCUGGGAGGUGGAGGUUGCAGUGAACUGCGAUCGCACCACUGCACUCCAGCCUGGGCGACAGAAUGAGACUGUCUCAAAAAAAAGAAAAAGAAAAAAUAAAUAAAAAAUUAACCAGGUGUCAUGGCAUGUGCUUUUAGUCCCAGCUACUCGGAAGACUGAGGUGGGUUGGAAGGCUGAGGCAGGUCGGGAAGUUGAGGCAGGAGGAUCCCUUGAGUCUAGGAGUUCAAGGCAGCAGUGAGCUAUGAUCGUGCCACUCCACUCCAGCCUGGGAGACAGAAUAAGAUCCUGUCUCUAAAAAAAAAAAAAUUAAUAAUAAAGUACCACUGGUGAAAGUGUAUUCUGGGGACAUAAUCUUGUGUAACUUAGUUUUUUACUGGUUUUUUAUUUGGGGGUUUUACUUCAAAGACUAGGAACUUGUUUGGGUGUGCGUAACCAGCUUAAACUAGAAUUGGCUUUUAAAAAUGUAGUUUAGAUAUUUCAAAUGCUGAAUUUCAUGUAUUUAGGAAAGUUACUGAUUCUAAAUAUGUAUCUAGAUGCUGGUGUUACUCCAAAUGCCAACAUUAAAAAUGUGUUUUGAAGAGUUAUACUGAGAACAUCAACAUUUAUAUAAUCACCCCUAUUUUGCAAAUAAGGAAACUGAAGCUACAAGAGGCAAACUGGCCCAAGGUCACACACAGCUAGUAAGUUUCAAAAUGAAGUUUUAACCCAGGUCUGAAUGCCUCUUAUCCACGCUCUUAACCACUGCACUGCAGUAUAGUAUACCUGCCUCUUGCAGUGGACAUUUGGGAAAAUACUUACAGCUGGAUUAUAGAGCUGGUCACUUUUGAAGUACAAAAUCACAUGGGCUGAAGUGGAGUAUAAUUAUAUACAAGCUAUAUCUUAAGUAUAUGUUAUUGCAGAAUCUCCCCUUGCUGUGGCUUGCUCACCCCAGUCAUUGAAAUCAUCUGUGCCUCUGUGAGGACAUAUUCCCAGAAGUGCUGUGACGCACAUGCUUACCUUAAAAACUUGUGGUUUGGCCAGGCACAGUGGCUCAUGCCUGUAAUCCCGGCACUUUGGGAGGCUGAGGUGGGCAGAUCACCUGAGGUCAGGAGCUCAAGACCAAGCCUGGCCAACAUGGUGAAACCCCGUCUCUACUAAAAUACAAAAAUUAGCUGGGCAUGGUUGGUGGGUGCCUAUAAUUCCAGCUACUUGGGAGGCUGAGGCAAGAGAAUUGCUUGAACCCAGGAGGCAGAGGUUGCAGUGGGCAGAGAUGGCGCCAUUGCACUCCAGCCUGGGCAAAAAAAGUGAAAGUCCGUCUCAAAAAACAACAACAACAACAACAAACUUGUGGGGUUUUUUCUAGGUAUAUUAUUAGUUCAGUCUGCCUUCCAAGUUUGCCCAUGAAGAAAGUAGGUAAGUAGGUGAGGGUGGUAAGUUAUACAUCUUGGAUGCUUAAUGAAAUUUCAGUGAUGCCCUUUGGCAUAUUCCCUCAACUGGGUGUUUCAAAAGUCUCAGUCCAGUUUUAAGUUUUAAAUAUGUUUCAUUGAGCACCUACCAGAUUGCUAGAUAGAGAAUUCCAGAUGAACCUUGUGGGCCUGCCAUUUAUGAGAGAAGCCAAGGAGCUAAGUAUAAAGGAUAAGGCCACAGGAAGUACAGACUUUGGAAAGGAACAGAGUGGAAGAGAGUAGAGACAGUGGGAUAGUACAAAGCUACUCAGGGUAUGAUGUGGGAUCUCCCCCACAAUCCUUAAGAAUUGCAGUAAAAUUGACAAAUUUAGAAAAUGCUGAUUGUAUCUGGAUUUCUUGUGGAAAAUAGCAACACUCAUCAGGGUUUGGUACCGGACAGGGUGAAAAUAGCAUGCACAAAUGUCCAAGAGCGUGGAGACACCAAGUAUGAAUUACCACUUGGAAAUCCCUGGAGGAUGCUGAGACAUGAGCUGCAAUUGAGGGUGACCUAAGACAGUAUCUGGUCUACAACAUCAUUAGAUAAGAUGGAUUCCCUUGCUUUUUUGUUUUGUUUUGUUUUUGUUUCCGCUUGAUAGUUUGUUUUUUUUUUUUGAGGCGGAGUCUCACUCUGUCGCCCAGGCUAGAGUGCAGUGGCGUGAUCUCAGCUCACUGCAACCUCCACCUCCUGGGUUCAAGCGAUUCUCCUGCCUCAUCCUCCCGAGUAGCUGGAACUACAGGCACACACCACCAUGCCUGGCUAAUUUUUGUAUUUUUAGUAGAGACGGGGUUUCACCAUGUUGGCCAGGCUGGUCUCAAUCUCCUGACCUCGUGAUCUGCCCGCCUCGGCCUUCCAAAGUGCUGGGAUUACAGGUGUGAGCCACUGCCUGUCCUCCCCUUGAUAGUUUUUCUUAAAGACAUUAUUGUUUUAGAGCAGUUUUAGGUUCAUAGCAAAACUGAGAGGAAGGUACCAAGAUAUCCCAUUUAGCCCCUGCCCCCACAUAUGCACAGCCUCCCCCAUUAUCAACAGCCUCUUGAAUUUUUACAACAAAGUUGACUAAUCUCAGUGGCCAUGGCCUUUAUUUCAUUCUUCAUCAAGUCCCAGCUUCUUCAUAAUAUAAACAUAUAUAUGAGUGCCUUCUGUGUUCUAGUCACUUUACAGACAUGCAUUAUUUCCUCUACUCAGGCUACCUUAUGAAGGAAAGUUUCACAAAUGAAGGAUCUGAGCUCAGGUAAUUUUUUUUCUUUCUAGAUGGAGUCUCGCUCUGUCCCCCUAGCUGGAGUACAGUGGUGCAAUCUUGGCUCACUGCAACCUCCACCUCCUGGGUUCAAGCAAUUCUCGUGCCUCAGCCUCCCAUGUAGCUGGGAUCACAGGCGUGUGCCACCACACCCGGCUAAUUUUUUGUAUUUUUAGCAGGAAAGGGGUUUGCCAUGUUGCCUAGGCUUGAGCUCAGAGAAUUUAAGCAACUUACGCCAGUUUCCACAGCUCAUGACUCUAUGUUUCUUCCAGUGAACCACACUGCCUCAUAUGCCUCAUUCCAUGGUUAUUUUCCACAUUCACAAGGAAUUCCUGACUUUUAUUUCUUUCCCCUUAAUACUAUGCCCAAGACAGUCUCCUUGUCUUGGUCAAUUUUCUCUAGCAUGGUGAAUAGAUAGCCUUGUGUAACAGUGUUGUAACCUGACAGGUGCAAAGAGUACAGGUGCCCUGGUUGCUACUACAGAAGGUGAAAAACCAUCCUUAGCUCUGCCCACAGGCUCACUAAGUCAUAGGGUUCUUGGCAUCCCUGAGGCCACCCCAAGCUCUGGAGCAUGGAAAAUGCUCCCACUAUUUAAAGAAUAAAACAAAGUUGUUCAUACAUAGUGUUGACGUCUAGCAGGCAAUUCAAGUGCUCUUGAUUAACUUGAUUAGUCAUUUUUAUUUAACUUAUAUGGGUCAUGGGGUAGGAGUGAUGAGAAAUACAGGGCAGUUUCUCUGUGGCUUGAUUCUAUAAACUUGCACAAGGAAUCAAGACAGGAGAAAGGCUAGUUCCAGGACCUUGAACAGAAAUUUCUGACCAGGCCUGCCACAGACUCGUUCUAGUCCAGCAGCUUCAUUUUAUGAAGUGAAUUUCAAGGCCCAGGAAGAAAAAAGGUACAGCUAGUUAGUGCAACAGUGGAAAUCAGUUCCUACUUUUGCAAAAAGUGCUCUAGGGAAUUAAAACGGGUCUCUAUUGUCUGCUCUGCCACUGAAUGACUGCAAUUAUGAUUCCUGUUCCUUAAUUUUUUUCCAAAAUGAGCUAUGGCAAGAAAUAACAGGAGAGGAGCUCUGGGCAAAGGCUACUAAAAUGGACUGGCAAUGCAACAUGUCUGAACAGUCUAGAAUUAAAGGUGUGAUUUUUAGUACCUUUUUAUGGCUGGAUUGACCAUGUGUCUGGAUUGUCAGCUAAUGAGAAUGCAGCCGAAGCCUUAUUGGUGUUCAACCCUGUUUUAGCCACAUCUUUUGGUCUCCAGCCCUUGCCUCAAGGUAAUGGGAGAACUAGGCAAUAUUCCCCACUCCUCUCAUAAGGCCCCUCUCAAACUCACCUCAGCUCAAAAAUAGCACUCGUAUAUAAAGGCUAUGAACAGUAGGCUCUCACUGAGUCCUAAUCCCAAGACUGCCAGUGCCAAUGCCUAGCGGACUCUGCAUCUUUCCUGAAGUAACUAACACAGGCUUUACUAAAAGGGAGACCAUUCACCCUUUUUGUUUGUUUGUUUGUUUUGAGACAAAGUCUUUCUUUGUUGCCCAGGCUGUUGCCCAGGAGUGCAGUGGUGUGAUCUUGGCUCACUGCAACCUGCAAACCCUCCAGAGUGUAACUUGUGAUAUAAUUGGAAAGAAAGCAAAUGUAUCUUAAAUGAUGCAAGAACAACACAAAACAAGAUGCCCACUUUUGCAAAAGAAGAAAUCUUCCAAUUUAUAAGAUCUGAAGAGAUAACAAGCCCAAGGGUAGUCUAAAGCAAAUAGGAGUCAAAAGCCUCCCAGAGGUGGGAGACGUGUCUCCUUUUGGAAAUUCAGUUGUUUUUUAUGGCACCAUACAAUUUUUCUAUACUGGAUUAUUAUUAUUAUUAUUUUUGAGACGGAGUCUCACUGUGUCGCCCAGGCUGGAGAGCAAUGGUGGGAUCUCGGCUCACUGCAACCUCCGCCUCCCAGGUUCAAGCAAUUCUGCUGCCUCAGCCUCCUGAGUAGCUGGGAUUAUAGGCGCCUGCCACCAGGCCCGGCUAAUUUUUGUAUUUUUAGUAGAGACGGGGUUUCACCACGUUGGCCAGGCUGGUCUCGAACUCCUGACCUCAGGUGAUCUGCUUGCCUGGGCCUCCCAAAAUGCUGGGAUUACAGGCGUGAACCACUGUGCCUGGCCUUCCAUACUGGAUUCUUAUGUGAGCUGUACCAGUUACAUUUUCCACAACCGCAUAUUAUACCACAAACCAGUCUGACCUGCAAGGGAAGUACAAGCAUUGGUCCUUUUGCAACGCCCUGCUGCCUAACCAGUUUGUAUUUGCAAAAGUGACACAUGGCCAGUUUAAGUUGGAGAUGUCCUAGGGAAGGGUGGAUGGUUGUUGUAUGAGGCCUUGCCUAGGGUCCUUUCUGGGCCUACUUAGGGCUUCAGAUGCAAUGGAGAUGACGGAUUUUAUUUCAUCAAAUGGUAUUAAUGUCAUUUCUGGAUCAGGCAUUGUGCUGGCAUCCUGAAGAAUUCAUAGUCUAGGUAGGAGAGAAAGGAAGAUAUACAUGUGGCUAGUGAUUACCUAAGAUGAAUUGUAAAGCAGAAUAAGCAACAUUCUAUGGUGAUGGAGCAGGAGUUAAUAGUUCUCA
rnacentral:lncRNA from 1 species